ACUUUGCCUACAGCUCUCUGUAGCCUCUCAUGGUGUCCGCAUCUAUUGCUUCUAAUCUGCACGGCGGUCGGCGUAGAAGCCACCGGCAUGGAAGAAGGCCAGCGCCGGCAGCCGCUCCUCACCCUGUGAGCGCAGGCGUGUCCUGUACGAGCGCAAGACGAGGCCGCUGCCCAUGUCGCAGAUGGUGAGUUUCAGAACUUGCAGCUCGCCCGCAAGUGGCUCGUGGUUCGCGCAACUCGAGCGUGCAGCCCACUAUUAAUGUUUCGCGUGAGCGUCGUGGUGUCCGCCGACGAAGCAGCUCCGACCUGGUCGAUGGGGCACUGCAGCCCACAUCGCACAACAGUGUGCCCCACUUCCUCCUACAUGCAGUACACUAUCACAGCCAGGGGAGAGUGAUGCACUGAACAGCACCUUCUUGACGCUUUGCUCAUGCUGCUUGCUUCAGAGCUUGGUGAACAGUUCAGAACUUUUUGUGUAGAUUUGUGUGUUUUUUGUGCAGGUCGCAUGCGUGCCAAGUCGAGCUGUGUGUGUUGUGUUGGACAAGAUGCAGUACGGACGGUGAUGCCGUGCAGCUCAUUUGGGAUGUGUGGUUCGGCAGCCCCCUGAUACAUCUUAUUUUGCAGUUUCUUGCUGUGUUCCGUGAUCUAUGUGCUGUGUUCGGUCAGAGUGCGAAGGGAAAUACGACUUACGUCCGGUCCAGAGCUCCUCCCUUCUAUUCGAAAAAAGGUUCACUGGGUGUGCGUCUGCCGCUCGGCGUGCAGCGCGUGCAGUUCGCUAUUGUGGGAAUUGUUGUUGUUGGAAAAUAUCUGUAAUUAAUUUGUUGAGAAGUUCAAUUAAAGAUGCAUGAAUGGUUUCAUUUUCAUGGAAAAAUGUCAUCUUCAGUCCACUUCGAGGAGCCCUGUGAUUCACUCUAUUAUGUAGGAAAAGUGUGAUUCAGGGCCUGUUCGGACUCCCUCCCGCU
rnacentral:lncRNA from 1 species